GCGCCGCCCCAACUUCCGAGCGCAAGCGUGGUCGCCCCCACAGCCUGUGGGCUACGGGAACGCGAUCCGACUCGGCGGCCCUCCCUGCCUGGAUGGCCGGUCCCCGAGGCUGAGGAAGUCCAUUCCUCUUUCGGAAAUGGUCCCCAGGAAGCUUCUCCGUGUCCCCCUAUGGCCGGCGGGUGGUCUGCGGCCGUGGCCCCCGCCCCUCAGCGCAGGCGACCCUCCUGGCCCUGGCGGGCACAGCGCCUCUCCCGUGACCUGGGCCGGCCCGCAGGAUGAGCCCCCGGAUCACGAUCGCUGGCAUUUUAUUUACCUUCUUCCAUUACAACCCCAGGCGAGUCUCCCGGGCCCCGAGAGGAGGGGGUGACUGGUCAGGGUCAUCGGUAGCGGCGGCAGGGGCCUGCAUAGGGCUGCCUCGGGGCGACUAGCAGAAUGGCCGCCAGCCUCGGCUGCCCCAGCCCCCAGCGCAUGGAAUGUGCCCCGGGCCCCAGGAGCUCCAGGAACCGCGCUUGUGAGACGGAGCUUCGGCUGCUUGGAGCUAGUGAGCCACCGGCCACGGCAGGGAUUUGAGCAGAACUUGGGGGCAGAGGGAUGAGAUGGUGCAUCCCUUGAGGUCACUUCAGGAGAUGACACUCCUGUGGCUAAGUGUAGCUUCCCAGGUCAUGGCUCCCAGGUCAGGCCUGGUCAAUGGAGAAUUAAGUGGGCGUUGGGUGGUGGAUGGAUGUGAUUUGGCAGAGGGGACAAAUGUGACAACAGUGUAAUAAGGGCCAUGUUGGGGAGGGUCAGGGGUCAGGGUCCGGCCCAACCUGAGCAGAAGGGAGGCUGCUCUCAGGGAUAUUUGUCAGGUAGGAAUGGGUGGAGUGGAACUACAGGGCCACCAUGUUUCCCAUGGGUCACCCAUGGUGGCCUUGUCAUGUUUAUCCGUGAUCCUCAGUGUUCUCUGUGGUCCUCCCGUCACCCCUUUCAGACUGUCCUUUCAGUUCUCCACUGUCCCUGCAUCACCUCUGCCCCUGUCCCGUUUGUCUGUGUUCAGUCCAUGUUCCCAGGUCUUGAGGUGGCCCCUGGUUCUAUGCCCCUUACCUAAGACCCUGUGCAGGGAAUCUGUGAAAACACAGAGGAAAUAAAAAGUGAGGAAAAUAGUACUCUUGCAUCCUCGACCAAGAUAGUGUUUGUUGUGAGUGCUGAGACGGACCAGCAUUCUCUUUGUUGGUGAAGAGGAGACAGACCCAUCCACAGGAGUCAUUGGCUUUUUUGAAUACUAAGCUCUGACUGCCAUUCAUCAUCUACACAGGGACAGAAAACCCGGUCUGGGGGACGUGGCACGCAGCAGUGUGUGAGGGGAAUGCCAAGGAAUCUGGGGAGCGUCAAGGAAUCUGGGGAGCGGGAAGAUGGAGCGGGGUAGCUGCCUGGAGGCCUCAGUCCCACAGCAGUGAGGACAAGGCUGGAGGUUAGCCAAGCCCUGCCCUAGGUGUGGUCACGACCUCACCAGCUCCCUUUUCCUUUUCUCUGAGGCCAUUGUCUCUCCUGGGCACAGUCCGUAAGGUUCAGAUUCCAGACUGUGACUUUAACUGGUCACCGUGGCUCUGGCUGGAGCAGGACAUGGUGACCUGGAGUCUCCAUCCACUCCUCCGAUGUGCACUUAGCCACCUCCUGGGGCUCUCCCCAGCACUGGCCGAGCAUCCUGGUUAGUGGGGAAACGUGGAGCACCAGGCUAGAAAUCAAGACCCUUCUGCCUGCAGACUAGCUUGGAGACCCAUCCACGUGUCUCUGCUCCUCUGCCCCUUAAGGGCAGGUGCGCCCCAGUGUUCUUAGUCUGUGCUACUCCCUGCUGCGGGCCUCCUCUCUGCAGUCUGGUUAAAUGCAACUUGGCUCCCUCCAGGCCCCUGCCUGCCUCUCCAGCCUCCAGCUCUUUCCUGCACAGACACCUUUCCCCUUGGGUCUCAGCUCCAAGACUGGAGGCUGCUUGCUUCUUGAGGGAAUGUGUGAAGCAGCCUACAGUGUGGGUUCUAUCUACCAGAGUACGUGGCUCCUCCAUGCUCGUGGCCCCAAGGGACUCAGACCCAGCUCAAUCAACAUUUCUGGCUGGGCUAUCUGAUGUCUGCCGUGUGAUUCAAAGUGCAGCCUCGGCCCCUUCCUGUGGAGAGGGACAGGGACAGGACUCGGUGCAGGUGUGCAGUGAGUGGCUGGCAUCUCUGGAGGUCAGUAUGUGAGGGUGGGGGUCCCCUCCAGGCAGCUGCGAGGGCUUGGCUGCUCCCAGAACUGCCUGGAACCUGGGGAGACUGUAAACAACCUCUUGCAACCCCAAGAAUAAAGCUGCCAUGUGUGAGGGCUUGCUCUGAGCUAAGCAUGAUUCUGAGCACCGGCAGGGAGUACAGCAAGUGGAUGCUGAGGCCUGGAGGGCAGGCCCCAGAGAGCUGAGUGCCCCUCCAGGUUUCAUGGCUGGCACUGUGGACCAGUGUGGCCCACUGCCUGCUUGCCACCCCACAACAAAGCUUCAGAGGUGCAGAACCAGUGGCCUGAGCUCCAGGGACAGGAAGCAUCUUGGCGUGGGGUUCUCAUGGUGGCACUUGCAUGCCCUAGUGCACAGGGGCGGAAGGGGAAGCUCUGUUGCCUGGGCCCUUUCUCUGUGGCAACAGAUGGGGAAGUCUGCCGUGAGGAUAGAGAGUGCAUGGCCAUCCCAUCACAGCACAGGUUGAGUGCUGAGCCACCCCGAGCCCUCCCCAGCCCAGCGGCUCUCCCCAAGGAGGCUUCAAAACCCCGUGCUCCCUUUGUACCCCCAAGCCCAUGCUUGGCUCUCAGAUCCACCUCGGGCCCUUUGCACCCCAGACUCCUCCCCAGCUGCACAUUCCCGGGAUUCCAGGCAUCUGGUGCUGUGUGAGGUCACUAGGACAGGGCAGUCUCCCCAGGGACGGGACCUGUUCACAUGGAGUUUCUGGCUGGCAAAAGCUUGUUCUCCAGUCUGAGCCAAACGCUUGCAUGACUCUUCCCCCACGGAGGCACUUGGACAGGAAGCUGGCUUCUCUGCACAGCCAGGGGCACUAAGUGAUCCCAUCCUGCCUGAGCGUCCUCCACGUGGCUCAUAGGCUGUGGAAAGAGGGGCUUGGCCCCAUGGGGACAUGCCAGUUCAGAGCUCUGGCCUCCAGCCAGAGGGACACCUUUCUCUGAGGCUCAUGGCUGUGGCAUGAGGUGCCCAGAGAGCCCUGGUCAGGCAGCCCCACCUCCUGCUGCCCCAGGGCAGCUGCCUCCCAGCCCAGGUGAAGGAACAAGGGAGGGCCCCUGCCCAGAGCCUUUGGGUAGCAGAUGCCAGACACCCACCCCCACCUGGAGUUCAGAGGCCUCAACGUGCCCCCAUCUCCUCCUCCCCACGAGCAGCCCAUUUCACUCACUGAGGAGCUGGGCAUACCCCAGAGGGGCCCUGGGCAACCCAACCCUUCCCUAAGCUUCCCUGUGGGUGAGGGGCAGGCAGUCGUCCUGGGGGCUCCAUCUCCUGGGCCCAGCCCCCUGCUCUGAACACUCUGCCAGGCCACCCCUAGGCCUUGUCAACACACCCUUUUACCCAUGCCACGGGAUCUUGCCCAGAGGCCACAGGGAAGGCCAGGGUGCACCCAGAUCCUUCUUGGCCUGGCGCUGGG
rnacentral:lncRNA from 1 species